CAGACGAAUGAGCACCCCACCCUACGCUCACACUCGCCAUCCAGCUCUCAAGUCUUCACUAUCCUAAUUAGUUCCAGGUCUGUCCACAACUAGGAUAGGUACAGCAGAUGCUAUCAGAAAUUUCGCAAAUAGGUACAGCAGAUGCUAUCAGAAAUUCACAAAUAGGCACAGCAGAUGCUAUCAGAAAUUCGGCAAAUAGGCACAGCAGAUGCUAUCAGAAAUUUGGCAGAGGGGGAUGAUCACAGACGAUUAUCUCAAUCGGCCGUUGGAGAUUAAUGCAGUGCGCAGGUGAGAUUC
rnacentral:lncRNA from 1 species